rnacentral:rRNA from 1 species
CGACCGCUGGCGGCAUGCCUACCACAUGCAAGUCGAACGAUGGUCUUCGGAUCAUAGUGGCGCACGGGUGCGUAACGCGUGGGAAUCUGCCCUUGGGUUCGGAAUAACAGUUGGAAACGACUGCUAAUACCGGAUGAUGUCGAUAAGACCAAAGAUUUAUCGCCCGAGGAUGAGCCCGCGUCGGAUUAGCUAGUUGGUGGGGUAAAGGCCUACCAAGGCGACGAUCCGUAGCUGGUCUGAGAGGAUGAUCAGCCACACUGGGACUGAGACACGGCCCAGACUCCUACGGGAGGCAGCAGUGGGGAAUAUUGGACAAUGGGCGCAAGCCUGAUCCAGCAAUGCCGCGUGAGUGAUGAAGGCCUUAGGGUUGUAAAGCUCUUUUACCCGGGAAGAUAAUGACUGUACCGGGAGAAUAAGCCCCGGCUAACUCCGUG